GCGAACUGCGGCUUCGUUCAUGUUAAUCGACACUCACGUGCAAGUAGUCCGGAUCGAGCUCGGAAAGGAAUUGGUAAUCGUUCCCGGAGACAGCAAUCAGCGCAGCGGAAGACUUGAGGUCGUGUCUUGAGAAGACGCCAUCGUCGAUCUGAGCCUGGAACUUGUCUAUCUGAGCUGUUAGGUUGCUCUGGAAGUUGCCGGUGUCGAAGAUCCCGGAACCGGCGACGGCGAAGUUCAUGCCGUAUGGCAGCAGCUUCUGGCCGAACUUUCUGAUCCUGUAAGGAAUGGGAGAUCUGAUCCGCAAAAACGAGGCUGCCACACCAUGUAGACACAGCUUUUACUGCAGUUCUUAGAUAUGCUUGCGGUCUAACCGAGUCAAGGAAUCAUGUCAUAAAGCGAGAGAGAGACAGACCAACGUAGUCGGUGAGGACUCUGCCAUCGGAGAAGCGGCCAGUGGGCUUCCUAGGGAAGGUCAUGCCGUAAGGAUCGAACCAUGAACGCGCGAGCCUCCCCAGCAACCUCCCCAGGUUGCCGGUGUCGACGUAGGAGUCGCCGAAGACGAACAGCUUAUUGACAUAGUGAUGCUCUGGUCUCUGCUUGCCGUGAGCAGAACCAGCAAUCCGAGUCCC
rnacentral:lncRNA from 1 species